GUAAAGUUCUUGGACCCUAUCAGUGCCUCCUGGAGGGUACAAAUACUUCGAUGGAUCACAACCUCAACGGCUGUGACAAGGUAUUCGUAAUGAGCACCAUACCAAAGGUUAUCGGAGGUGCCUGUCAAGAUCACAAGUGUGGCUUUGACGAGCUAUGUGUCCCUGCUAGACUUGGAUACAAAUGUCUGAAAAGCAAAUAGGGGUUUCAAGUAUCGAGGGCAGAAUCCUAAAAGGGAGGAAGACGCUCGAAUCCAUGACGAAUUGAUAUGCUUGACAUAACCUGUUUUAAUCUGACUCAUACUUGCUUGACAACAAUACAAGAAUCUGCAUCGUCACAUCAUCCGAAUAAAGAAGUUGUUCAUCCAUAAAGUUUUUCCUUAUCUAACGCAAGGGUAUUCCUUGCCAUCUGUCUACGGGAUCGGGAUCAAUCUAACUGUAUACUCUAGCAACCAAAUACAGUUAACACCCAUAUCAUCUUGCUUAAAAAAAUUUAAUUCGUCUUGUACAUUGGCUUCUCAACUUAUGUAAUUUGUUGUUCUUGCUCUCAACGUGACCUCUUCUAAUCAUUUGUUGUUUGUUAUUAAUUAGUGAUAAUAUGCUUCUUGGCACAGCAUGCUACGAAUUAUACUUCUCAUCACCAGGUUGUAGUGAAUGUUACCUUGAUAACGGUGUAAGCAUCUAUUUAUAAACGUCCCUCUAGUACAUAAACAAACAGUUGUAAACAAACAGUCGUUUGUUU